rnacentral:rRNA from 1 species
UACGGGAGGCAGCAGUGGGGAAUAUUGGACAAUGGGCGCAAGCCUGAUCCAGCCAUACCGCGUGGGUGAAGAAGGCCUUCGGGUUGUAAAGCCCUUUUGUUGGGAAAGAAAUCCAGCCGAUUAAUACUCGAUGGGGAUGACGGUACCCAAAGAAUAAGCACCGGCUAACUUCG